CUGCCUCAGCCUCCCGGGUAGCUGGGACUACAGGCGCCCGCGACCACGCCCGGCUAAUUUUUUUUUGUAUUUUUUUUUAGUAGAGACCGGGUUUCGCCGUGUUAGCCAGGAUGGUCUCGAUCUCCUGACCUCGUGAUCCACCCGCCUUGGCCUCCCAAAGUGCUGGGAUUACAGGCGUGAGUAACCGCACCCGGCAGUAGUACCUACUUUUUAAAGUGUAAGCAAGGAAAGUUGGCCCGCACCUGUAGUCCCAUCUACCUGGGAGGCUGAGGUGGAAGAAUUGCUUGAGCCCAGUUGGUCGAGGCUGCAAUGAGCCUUGAUCACGCCACUGCACUCCAGCCUGGGCAACAGAACAAGACCCUGUCUCAAACAAAAAAGUGUAUGUAAGAAUAAAAAUUAAUAGAUUAGGCACAGGAUGGGUGUUUAAUUCUCGGCAAUCACCACUAAGUUUUCAUACUGAGGCUUAUUCAUUCCAUGGGCAAAACAUUGCGCUAUGUGUGGUGCCUGGGGUGGGCUCCAAAUUCCAGUCCUCUCCUCGCUUGCGAUAGCUGUGUGAUCCAUUCCUAAGUUUCCUUAUUUGUCCACAGAGCGUACACAGGGUUUUUAUGAAAACUAGAUCAGAUAAUCAGACACAGUUAAAAUAGCACGCGCUCAGUAAAAUUACAUAUUAGUGGAAGAGACAAGCCUUGAAUAAAUCGCCUUUCGGGGAGUAUGACCCCCUCCCCGAAACCCACUCAGGCGCUGCUCGCUCGCACGCCCACUGAGCUCGGAGCGGAGCCCGAGCCCUUUCCCAGCACACAGGGUUCAUUUCCAGACUGAAAGACAUCCCAGAGACAACUCCAGAGGCCAAGGCGGGUCGGCUUCCUGCGUGGGCCCAGCGCCGGGCACUGAAAGGUGAAGGCGCUUCUUCCGCUCGGAGGAAAGCCUCUGGCGGUUCUCGCUUCGCGGGCUCGGGAUGGACACGCGCGUAGGGCUGGGGAGGUGACGCGCGGACAACGCCGGGGCGAGCAAACUACAACUCCCAGGCAGCUGUGCGCCACGCGGGCGGCCUACUGUCGGGUGUGGCCGCGAGGGGCGGCCUAUAUAAGCUCUUGCUCGCGGCUUCAGCGCCCUUUCUCCCCGCCGCAUUCCCGGUGUCGACUUACUAGCUGCAAGCCUCUGCCUGCCUUCCUGCGCGCCGUUCCCCGCUAGUCGCUGCUGCUGGCGCGCACUCGCCGGGUUUUUCCUCCCACGGCCUCGAGAUGGUGGUGAAUGUGGCACGGAGGAGCCGGGCCUUCCAACCCGGUGGGCCCGAGCUCCGAAAGGCCCCCUCGGCAGUGAGAGGGGCGGGAGCCCGCGGGGGCCGCGCCCUUCUCUCGCUUCGGACUGCGCAACGCUGCGCUCUGGGCUGACAGGCGGAUAAAACGGUCCCAUCAAGACUGAGAAAAAGCACACCAGCUAUUGGCACAGCGUGGGCAGUGGGGCCUACAGGAUGACUGACUUAGUCUACAGAGAUCCCGGCGUACUUAAGCAGGUAGUAAUGAUGGACAGGUGAGGCUUUAGGCGGCCGCCCUGGGAUCUGAAUUGCCCCUUGGCCCUUAUCGAAGCUGCAGCUGCUUCCGCAUAGCUGCUGUGGUCAAAAAGGAGCCCAGAGUGACAGUUUUCCUUGACGGUCGCCGUUCUGUUUGUUGUAACUGAUCUGCAACAUUUUGGGAAAAUACAGUUCCAUUGUACCUGCCACCUUUCAGCUGUAGCCAGAGACCUUUAUCAAAAUGGGCUUGUUUCCACAGAACAGCAGAACGGUUGGGGGUUUGCAUGUACAGUUAACCAGCAUAAGACUCGUACUGGGAAAAUCCAGCUGGGAUGUGACACAGCUUAACUGAUAGCUUAAGGCAUCAGUAUUGGGACCAAAGGCUGGUCAGAUUUGUAUCAUUCUGAGGACCAAAUGAUGGGAACAAUAAAAUUGUUCAUGACAGUUGUUCUCAUUUUGCUGUCCAGAUGAAGACUCUUAAGAUGACAGAAGGUGAUUUUUCUGGUGAUCGAGGACUUCCGGGGUAAUGACAGUGAUGAAAUGCAGGGGACCUGGUUGCCCCCAAGUUUCCUGGCAGUGUGUGAUACUGAGGAGGUGAGCUUGUUUCUGGAGCUGUGCUUUAAGGUAAAGUUGAUCAGCUUAAUCCUCCUGAUCCCUUUCCCAUCGGAUCUGAACACUGGUCUUGGUGGUCGUAAAAGGAGGAAAAGUAAUAGUGAAGCUGGCCUAAAUGUUGUAAUCUGGUAUAUGGCAUGUGGGCUAGUUUCAGACAGGUUUCAGAGAUGGUUGGAUCUCUGAAAUUGUAAAAUGAAGUAUAAUCUUAGGCUAAGGGAAGGAUGCGUGUGAAGCUCUGGAGGUUGGUAUAGUAAUAGCUGACCUAUUACUGCAUUUGGGAGGGAUCUGUCAUAGCUUCCUUGCCUCUUAAUUAAGGGUGGUGUUUUUUUCUUUUAGAUUCAUGUUACAUGUAAAGCUGUCCUCAUUUGUGACUAUGGACCUAUGGAGUUGGGACAAUCUCUAUGGGAAGCAGAAGGCAAGGACCCCGGUCAUUUUAGGUAGAAACAACAGCAUGCUAAUGCAAAAAAUUAUGCAGUGUGCUACUGAACUUCAGAGGUGAUCAAUAAAAGAAGAAUAAAAAGACUAAUAAAAGUAUAUUUGUGUUUGUAUUUUUUUGUAGAGACCGAACUGGUCUCUU
rnacentral:lncRNA from 10 species